rnacentral:rRNA from 1 species
UAGGGAAUCUUCCGCAAUGGGCGAAAGCCUGACGGAGCAACGCCGCGUGAGUGAUGAAGGUCUUCGGAUCGUAAAACUCUGUUAUUAGGGAAGAACAAAUGUGUAAGUAACUAUGCACGUCUUGACGGUACCUAAUCAGAAAGCCACGGCUAACUACGUGCCAGCAGCCGCGGUAAUACGUAGGUGGCAAGCGUUAUCCGGAAUUAUUGGGCGUAAAGCGCGCGUAGGCGGUUUUUUAAGUCUGAUGUGAAAGCCCACGGCUCAACCGUGGAGGGUCAUUGGAAACUGGAAAACUUGAGUGCAGAAGAGGAAAGUGGAAUUCCAUGUGUAGCGGUGAAAUGCGCAGAGAUAUGGAGGAACACCAGUGGCGAAGGCGACUUGCUGGUCUGUAACUGACGCUGAUGUGCGAAAGCGUGGGGAUCAAACAGG